rnacentral:rRNA from 1 species
GACGAACGCUGGCGGCGUGCCUAAUACAUGCAAGUCGAACGCUUCUUUCCUCCCGAGUGCUUGCCCUCAAUUGGAAAGAGGAGUGGCGGACGGGUGAGUAACACGUGGGUAACCUACCCAUCAGAGGGGGAUAACACUUGGAAACAGGUGCUAAUACCGCAUAACAGUUUAUGCCGCAUGGCAUAAGAGUGAAAGGCGCUUUCGGGUGUCGCUGAUGGAUGGACCCGCGGUGCAUUAGCUAGUUGGUGAGGUAACGGCUCACCAAGGCAACGAUGCAUAGCCGACCUGAGAGGGUGAUCGGCCACACUGGGACUGAGACACGGCCCAGACUCCUACGGGAGGCAGCAGUAGGGAAUCUUCGGCAAUGGACGAAAGUCUGACCGAGCAACGCCGCGUGAGUGAAGAAGGUUUUCGGAUCGUAAAACUCUGUUGUUAGAGAAGAACAAGGACGUUAGUAACUGAACGUCCCCUGACGGUAUCUAACCAGAAAGCCACGGCUAACUACGUG